UUGUUCCUACGGGGCGCAGCAGUGAGGAAUAUUGGUCAAUGGCCGAGAGGCUGAACCAGCCAAGUCGCGUGAGGGAAGACGGCCCUACGGGUUGUAAACCUCUUUUGUCGGGGAGCAAAGCGAACCACGUGUGGUUCAUUGAGAGUACCCGAAGAAAAAGCAUCGGCUAACUCCGUGCCAGCAGCCGCGGUAAUACGGAGGAUGCGAGCGUUAUCCGGAUUUAUUGGGUUUAAAGGGUGCGCAGGCGGAGGUGCAAGUCAGCGGUCAAAUUGCGGGGCUCAACCCCGUACUGCCGUUGAAACUGC
rnacentral:rRNA from 1 species